AUGGAGGCAGUAGAGAGACUAGUAUCAGCCUUUAAGACUGGCCCAAGGUGCACAUCAACAACGGUGUGGCAUAAAUCAUGCUACUCCGAUUACACACAUAACGGAAAAAUUGAGAGAUUAAAGAAACGUGACAAAUCCCCAUCAACAAGUUCUUCUCCUCAGACAGUUGAUGCCUCACAAUGUAGAUCUUUAGGAUUACGCAGCCAUUCACAACCUAUGGAUUGGAAACUGUGCAUGUUCUGUCAGGACACCAAGAUUAAGCAAAAUACUUCUGCUAUUAGCAGGAAGAACAUGAGCAAUCAAAUUAUUUCAGCAGCAAAAUAUGUGGAACAGGUCAGUGUUCGUGUAGCAGGUGUCAAUGAUCUUAUGGCAGCAGAUGGGUGCUACCACCCAAAUUGCUUAAAGAAGUUUCUGCGAGACACAUCCAAGGCUGAAGUUGAAAACAGACAUGUGGAUCUUGCCAUGAUCUGGCUUGGACAGGAGUUGAGGGUUUCUGCAGAUAAGGGUCAUGUUUUGGAACUAGAACAAGUUUGGUUACGUUACAAAGAACAUGCAAAUGACAUCGAAAUCCCCAAAUCCUUUCUGAGUCGUCGAGCAACAUUUAAAGACAAACUAUCUACCUUGCUCAAUGAUGUCUAUGAAUUUAUUGUACUGCGUGACCAGGCUGCACCUGAUAGACAAACAAUACUCAUCCCUGUCAAAUUCAGCCAUAUCCCAUUCUCUCAAUGGGCAUUACACGAUCAGGAGUUUGAUGAAGGAUCCACUACUAUCCCUGUCUUCAAGUCACAAGCAGAAGAUGAAUUUCUGUCUAUGAUCCAUGUAGCACUGAAACUCAGAUCAGAUAUAUUGUCCCAACCUUCAUACUCCGGUGUGGAUGUCAGCGAAGAAGCUGCAAUAGAUUGUGUUCCACCCAGUGUUUAUAUGUUCAUCCACCUAUUGUUAGGAGGCCAAUCACUUCUAGAGGCAGAGAACAGAAAUAUGAUGAGGAAGAAUCCCACAAAAGAUCCAGGGUGCUUAGUGUUGCACAGGAUCUUGUCUAUAGUGUUAGUGGGGGAAAGGAAAUGCGCAAACAUUGUGGCUUUAUCACCUUCCAUUCAGAAGUUAUGGCCGUUUUAA
rnacentral:lncRNA from 1 species